rnacentral:rRNA from 1 species
GACGAACGCUGGCGGCGUGCCUAAUACAUGCAAGUAGGACGCAGUUGCGAACGGGUGAGUAACGCGUAGGUAACUACCUAUUAGAGGGGGAUAACUAUUGGAAACGAUAGCUAAUACCGCAUACUAGUAGAUGGACCUUCGUUGUAUUAGCUAGUAGGUAGGGUAAUGGCCUACCUAGGCAACGAUACAUAGCCGACUUGAGAGGGUGAGCUGUCACACUGGGACUGAGAGAAGGCCCAGACUCCUACGGGAGGCAGCAGUAGAGAAUAUUAGGAAAUGGGGGGAAACCUGACCGAGCAACGCCGCGUGAGUGAAGAAGGUUUACGGAUCGUAAAGCUAUGUUGUUAAGGAAGCGGUACUUAACAAGAAAGGGACGGCUAACUACGUGCCAGCAGCGGCGGUAAUAC